GUUCUCUUCGGAGCACUGGAGACAGGUGGUGCAUGGUUGUCGUCAGCUCGUGUCGUGAGAUGUUGGGUUAAGUCCCGCAACGAGCGCAACCCUUAUCCUUAGUAGCCAGCAGGGAAAGCUGGGCACUCUAGGGAGACUGCCAGGGAUAACCUGGAGGAAGGUGGGGAUGACGUCAAAUCAUCAUGCCCCUUAUGAUUUGGGCUACACACGUGCUACAAUGGCGUAAACAAAGGGAAGCGAAGUGGCGACAUGGAGCGAACCCCAAAAAUAACGUCUCAGUUCGGAUUGCAGGCUGCAACCCGCCUGCAUGAAGCCGGAAUCGCUAGUAAUCGCAGAUCAGAAUGCUGCGGUGAAUACGUUCCCGGGUCUUGUACACACCGCCCGUCACAUCAUGGGAGUCGAUAACGCCCGAAGUCAGUGACCCAACCGAAAGGAGGGAGCUGCCGAAGGCGGGAUGGAUAACUGGGGUGAAGUCGUAACAAGGUAGCCGUAUCGGAAG
rnacentral:rRNA from 1 species